AUAUUUGAUUUAUAUUCUGAAUCACAAUAAAAAUAAAAUUUCAAGUAAAUUAGAAAUGUAUAAGAAUUAAAUUUGUUUCAAUAGAAUAACGGAAGUGUAUAUUUCAGUUUGAUGUUUCAGAAACUUAUUAAGUAACAUGGAGCUUGAUGCAUGUUUAAGGAUUUUACUACUUAUUUAGAAUGCUUUUGAAAAUUAAUGAAAGCAGAAAGCAUUUUGUUGAAAAAAAAAUUUCACACUUCAAUCCUGCCCUUUAUAGAAAAUAUUUCAGAUCAUAUUUCAAAAAUAACAAAAACUUCAAAUAUUUAUAUAGUCUUUUCAAAUCUUUCCACUUUUGGAAAGAAAUGUAAAGUGGGAUUGUAUAAUUUUGAAUCUCUCCACUGCUAUCAAUCCAAGGUUGAUUAUCAACUAAACUUACAUCUUAUAACCAAGUUUACCUGCAAUCCUUAAGAUGAUAAAA
rnacentral:misc_RNA from 1 species